GACGACUAGGGGCGACUAAUCUCCCUGAUUGUCGCCCUAAUCGCGACUAAUUGGCUGAUCGCCUAGGUUAAACGAUCAGGCGAUCUGAAAUCCAUGUCCACGAUACUCAGAUUCUCUCCACAGCUAGAUUCUUCCCACAACCAGAUUCUCAAAAAAACUCCUCAUAAAUAAGUUGAACCCAAAUAAGCCUUAUGACAUUGAUUCCUAAGCCUGUUAGGCUAUCUCCAGUAGCUUACCCAUCCCCAUAUUCAAACUCCACUCUAGCGAACAGUGGAAUCUACAGUGCAAAAUAGUGUUUUGGAUGACCAUAUGGGUGAAUUGUUGGACACGGUCUUAGCCUCAUGUUGGCAAUAGAAGGAAUGUCAGAGACAACUAAUAAUGUUGCUCUCACGAUGACGUAUAAUCUCGAACACAUAAAGUGGAAGAGAUCAAAUAAGAAAUGCUUAAUUGUCACCAAGACUUCUAUUAUAGUUUCAAUUAGGGGAGCAAUCCUAGAGUGUCAAAGUGACAUAGAGUACCUUAACAAGAUUCAACAACAGUUUACUGAUUUCUAAAAGGCUUAUGCUGGUACCAUUAUCAAGAAGAUUGUUAUUGAAAAGUAUGAAGACUUUGUAACAAGAGAGCACAUACAAAAAAUGACCAAUUUUGCUAAUAAGCUUAAGAGUUUCAACAUAGAGCUAAAGAAUGACUUUGUAGUUCACUUGAUAUCAGUGUCUUUGUCCAAAUAAUUUGAGACAUCUGUUGUUGUUAGACUAUGUGUGUGUGAGUGUGUGUGGGCCGGCACCACUGUUGGGCUGCCGGCCCAUUAGGGUUAGGGUUUCAUGUGUCUCUAUAUAUUGUAGUCCACCUCUAUGCAAUACAAUGAGCUCACUUCAACAUGGUAUCAGACUAGGUUAGGUUAGGGUUUCUCUCGCAGCCGCCGGCGGCUCUACCCAACAGCCGCCGCCUCCUCCGAGCCGUCACCGGCUUCCGCGCCGCCGCCCCGGGAGGCUCAUCCAACCCUCCCGGGGCGGCCCUUCUCCCCUGCUCAGCACUCAGCAGCCGCCGGCCGCCUCCCUCUCCUCUCGCCAGGGCACGACCCGGCCAUCCUGCGCAACCUCGCCAGGAGCGCGCCCAGGCCACGCAGCCACCAACACCCGGCCACGGCGGAGCCACUCUACCGCGCACCAGGCGGCCGAACCCCCUGCGUCUCCCAGUUCGCGCGCCCUGCAAGCGACCGAGCCGCUGCCCGUCGAGCCGCCCCGCGCGCAUACCGCGCGAUGCCGCGCCCAGGAGCCGCGCCCAGCGCCCGCGCGCAACCGAGCUCCCCGCGCGCCCGACGUCCAUGGCAGCGCGCACGCCCGCGGCCCCUGCCCCUGCAUCGACCGGCGCCCUGCACCAGCCUGGACGCGCGUGCCCCGACCAGGCCGAGCCGCAGCCGCCCAACACCGACCGCGCGGCCCCUCGUAGCUCGGCGCGGGCGUGACUGCUCGGCCUCCCUUGGUCUCCCUUGGUCGGCGUCCUCCUCUUCGCUGAGUCCCCCGCACGUGCACCCUCCUCUUCGUUGUGUCCUCACACGUGCUGUCCAUGCUGACGCCCCAGCAGCGCCUCCCACUUCGAGCUUCUCCCGUCGCCGGUGCCGUCAACACCCUCUGCCAGGUCCGGCGCAGGCCCCUGCCCGGCUGGACACGCCACGCCGCCCACCCCUUUCUUCGCCUUCGCUGGAUCCGUCGCUGCCGCGACCUUCCCGGUCGGAUCCACGUUGCUACGACCUUUCCUGCUCGAUCCGCCGUCCCUUUGGCUGGAUCGUGUCUUCCCGACUGGAUCCGUCGCUGCCGUGGCCUUCCCGGCCGGAUCUGUCGUUUCCCCUUCUAUUCUGCCGCGGGCGCGGACACCAUGACUGGCACAGACGCGUGCGCUGCCGUCGGCCUCCCUGGCGGGACUUCUUGACGCCCGGACGAUCGAAGAAGCAGGAAGGUCGGCCUGCUGGUGCCUUUUUGCUGUGUCGCCCUGCCUGCCGUUGACGCUCGAACGUCGACCCCUCCUGAAGAUCAGGCUUUUGCUGCGCGUCUUCCGACCACGACCACCUCGACUUCGGCUACCUCGACAUCUAGGGGCUAUCGUCUUCUUGGAGCACACACCGUUCUCUACUCCAGCCGCAAGAUUCGCACCAUCACGACGCUGCGACUGCGGGGGGAUUUCAACCCGUCGGCUCCUACCUUCGGCCUCUACUCCAGUCUCAUCGUGUGUGGUGCCCCCGUUGCGACUGCGGGGGGAUGUUAGACUAUGUGUGUGUGAGUGUGUGUGGGCCGGCACCACUGUUGGGCUGCCGGCCCAUUAGGGUUAGGGUUUCAUGUGUCUCUAUAUAUUGUAGUCCACCUCUAUGCAAUACAAUGAGUUCACUUCAACAGUUGUAAACUAUAAUAUGAGUCCAAAAAAGUGGACUAUAGAAAAGCUCAUAGCCAUGUGUGUCCAGGAAGAGGACAUGCUUAAAGCCAUGAAAAGUGACAAUGUAAAUCAAAUAAACAAUCACACCAUAAGAAACAGAAGAAGGCUUGCCUCAGUUUAAGAAUUAGGGCAAGAAGUUUGUGCCUCAUCAGAGAGGCUCAAGUUCAACUGGAGAGAAAUCCUUCCCAAAAUCAUGCAAUAAGGAAGCUAGUACAAGUGGAGAUAAGCCCAUUCUCUAUAGUUCAACUUGGAGAGGUGGAUAAUGACACCUACAUGUGCUGCUGCUAGAAAGGGCGUGUAAAUCAAAUAAACAGUCACACCAUAAUAAACAUAAGAAGACUUUUAAGCCUCAGUUUAAGAUUCAGGGAAAGAAGUUUGUGCCUCAUCAGAGAGGCUCAAGUUCAACUGGAGAGAAAUCCUUCCCAAAAUCAUGCAAUAAGGAAGCUAGUACAAGUGGAGAUAAGUCCAUUCUUAUAGUUCAACUUGGAUAGGUAGAUAAUGACAUCUACAUGUGCUGCCCUUAGAAAGGGCAUCAAAUAAAGUAUUGUAUAGUUUCUCAAAUGACUAAACAUAAAUAUUAAGGAUAAAGUUACAUUUGUAGAUGAAUAUAUGUAUUUAGAUUUACCUACUGAUACUUGGUGGAUUGAUUCUGGUACGACUGUGUAUGUCACCAAUUUUUUUUAUGGAGAUUCCAUACGAAGAGGGCCGUUUUAAGAGGAGAAAGAAAUAUUAGAGUCGCCAAUCGACUCAAAGCUAAAGCUGAAGUCAUUGGAAGUGUUUUAUUAGAAUUAGAAAGUGGCUUCAUUCUUUAUUUAGAUAAUGUAUUAUUUGUACCUUUCAUGAGAAGGAACUUAGUUUCAAUUUUAUGUUUAGAUGACAAUAAUAUUCACCGUCACUUUGGGAACAGAAAGUGCAUUAUUAAUGCAAUCAUAAUGAUGUUGGUCUUGCCAUUAGACAAGACAAAUUAUAUUUACUUCCCAAUUGUGAUCGUGUGAAUUAGUUAAAGGUCUUUUCUACUGUGAAUAUAUGUGAUGUGAGCAGUAAGCGAACUAAAUGAGAAUGAAUCGUCAUCGAAAUUGUGGCAUUGUCGUUUAGACCAUAUUUUGAGAGGGGGAUUGAACAGUUAAUUAGAGAAGAAAUCCUCUAUCCAUUAGACUUUUCAAAUCCCGACCAAUGCAUAGAAUGCAUCAAGGGAAAAUAUAUGAAACAAAUUAAGAAAGGCGUAAAGAGAAGUGCAAAAGUUUCAAAGAUAAUUCACACGGACAUUUGUGGUCCCUACCUAUGAAAACAAUUGAUGGUUUUGAUUCACUCAUUACAUUUACUGAUGAUCUUUCACGAUAUAGGUAUAUUUAUCCAAUGAAGGAACGAUCAGAAGCAUUAGACAAGUUUAAGAUAUUCAAAUAUGAAGUAGAGAAUCAACAUGAUUUAAAGAUCGAGAUAGUAAGAUCAGACCGUGGUGGUGAAUACUACGGAAAGCAUACCCUUAUGGCCAAGUUCCUGAACAUUUGCAAGGUUACUAUAGAAAAGUGGUAUAGUUGACCAGUAUUCAAUUUCAGGUAACCCUCGGCAAAAUGGAAUGACUGAAAGACGCAAUCAUACCUUAAUCGAUAUGGUAAGAAGUAUGAUAAGCCACUCCACUUUGCCGAUUAAUUUAUGGAUAGAAGAAUUGAAAACCGUUGCACACAUCCUUAAUAGAGUUACCAGUAAGUUAUCUAAAACACCAUACGAGUUAUGGAUUGAGAGGAAGGAUUCACUAAAUUAUUUGCAUGUGUGGGACUGCACAACAGAACUAAAGAUAUUUAACCCAAAUAUCAAAAAACUGGAAUCUAAGACAAUAAGCUGCCAUUUCAUUGGCUAUUCAGAAAAACCAAAGGGAUAUCAUUUCCACUAUCCUGACAGACAUACUAAGUUUGUAGAAAUGAGACAAAGAUGAUAUGAUUAGGGGGAGCAUAGUUUCCCUGAGAGAUUGGCCUUGAUGAGAAGCGGGUGUGUGCUUCAAUUCCAAUGAUCUUUGAGCCAUUCUUCUCGAUACCUGUUGUAGUCAUAGCACCCGUUGCUGCGACACCUGUUGUUGGUACUUCAGAUAUGAACGUUAGUGUCCCUUAGUCCCUAGUAAUAGUAUCUCACGUCACUGUCCCUGUAAAUGGAUGAGCCAGAACAACCUCAAGUGCAAAGUGAUGAACCUCUUCUUAGAAGAUCUCAAAGGAAUGGGAGGUCAGCGAUCCCCGAUGAUUAUGAGAUUUAUGAGUGAGGAUAUAGGCGACGAGGGCGAUUCUACCUCUUUUGAGGAAGCCAUUAGUAGUGUUGACUCGUCCAAGUGGCUUAAGGCCAUGGAGGAUGAAAUGAGAUCUAUGAGUACCGACCAAGUUUGUGACUUAGUAGAAAUCCCUAGAAGGGCUAAGAUAGUAGGUUGUAAGUAGGUCUACAAGACGAAACAUGACUCCGAAGGGAAUAUAGAAAGAUUUAAAGUAAGGUUUGUGGCUAAAGGCUCCACUUAGAGAGAAGGAAUCAAUUAUAAUGAAAUCUUCUUACUUGUCUUGUCAAAAGAUUAUUUUAGAACAAUUAUGGUGCUUGUCGCACACUAUGAUUUAGAAUUAAAUCAUAUGAAUGUAAAGACAACAUUCCUUAAUGGUGAAUUAGUUGAGAAUGUCUACAUGGCACAACUCAAAGGUUUUAUCAUGAAGGGCGAAGAAAACUUGAGAUAUUGUCUAAACAAAUCCAUUUGUGGAUUAAAGCAAGCAUCAAGACAGUUAGUAACUUUGGGUUUAAGAAAAACAUAGAGGAUAAUUGCAUUCAUGCAAAGUUUAAGAAUGGAAAAUUCAUCUUUCUCAUACUAUACGUGGAUGAUAUCCUUUUCGUGAGCAGUGAUAAAGAAUCUGCUAUUAGAAACUAAGAGUUUCCUAUCCUCCCACUUCGAUAUGAAAGAUCUCAGAGAGGCAUCUUAUGUCUCGGGAAUUGAGAUUCACCGAGAUAGAAAGAAAGAUGUAUUAGGUUUAUCAAAAGGCCUUCAUACAUAAUGUUCUUAUGAAAUUUAGUAUGCAUGCGUGUAACCACACACCUGCUCCAGUAGUCAAGGACGAUAAGUUGGGAAGUGAUCAAUGCCCCAGGAACCAAUAUGAGGUCACUUCGAAUAAAAUCGGUUCCAUACGCUUCGGUUGUCGGAAGCAUAAUGUAUGCUCAAAUAUGUAUUCGCCCUUACCAUUGUUUUCAAGUCGGGCGACCAGCUGGUCGAUUCAGAGGACGGAUCAGGCGCCUAAUCGCGAUUAGGGCGACGAUUAGGACGCCUAAUCGGUACUCUGUCUAUUGACUAGAGCUGUAGAGCAGACAGAAGUCAUGGAACAAAACACUGGUGUUGUGAAUGUGAUGGUAAGAACCAAGAAGGCAAGAACUAGACUGCGGACAUACUAAUAAUAAGAUAGAAAAGGGGGAGGAGGGGAGCUCAUCUUGCCCGUUGUAAGUUGUCACUGGUGCUGAUCUGGAGCCAAUGCCGGUGAUCUAGAGACGCUGGAAGUGGGUGCAGAGCCGGUGCGGGUGAACUGCAGCAGACGUCGGUUAGUGCACUGGACAACUGCCGGUGACUGCACUGGACCCUAGCCGCCACGGGUUGGAGAGAACGGGUUGGAAAGGGGCGCCGACAGGGUUUUGUGAGGGGAGGCAAGCUGUUUAUGUGACUGUAGAUGGGCCGUAAAAACAAUAAAGCCCAAUAGUAAACCCUAGCCGCCACUAAACCCUAGUCGCCAGUGGACGACCAAAAACCCUCUAAUCGGGCGCCUAAUCGAUGAUCUGGACGCUUAAUCGGACGAUCUGGACAACUAGAAAGUCUGAUCGAGUCGUUCGGCUAAUCGACCACUUUCAGGCGACCAGCCCGACUAAUCGCGAUUAGUCGGACAACUUGUAAACAAAGGCCCUUACUUGACAUUCAUAAUUGGGAUGUUUGGCAAAUUUCAAAAGAAUCUAGGAAUAGAACACUGGAAAUUCGUUAAUAAAGUCUUGUGGUAUUUGCAAAAAAACAAAAGGCCUCAUAUUUACAUACAAAAAUCAACUAGCCUUGAAACCAUAGGAUAUUCAGAUUCAGAUUAUACGGGAUGUGAAGAAGGUAGAAAGUCCAUGUUAGGUUAUUGGAAAUAGCACAGUGAAAUGGCAGACCUCCCACCCUCUAAGCCAGCCCUUCCCUCUCACCCUCUAACCCAGUCCUUCCCACCCAGUUCUGAUGCCCCCUCCCACCUCAGCCCCUCGCCGGCAUUCUCCCCGAACUCGGCGUCCACACCCACUUUUAGCCAGGCGUCAGAACCCAGUCACAGUGGUGUAUCUUCUCAGGUAGGACGGUCCAAAUUCCAGAGGUGGAGCGACGGAGGUGGUGGUCCUUUUUCCGGUGAGCCCUGUUCCUAUAAAGAUGCUACACUCAUCCAGUUGAGUGCAGUGCCAUCCUCUCCUUCUCGGGGAUCACAGUUGAGGUCUGCAAAGGAGGUGGUGGUCCGGGGUCACGUCGAGGACCUCCGGCAGGCGGUCUCUGGGCGACGUCAAGUAGGUCUGGUGCGUCAUUCCUUGCCCCCGUCUCCUCGGCGGCAGGAAGUCGACGGGUGGCAAACCGUUGAAAGGCGGCGUGGGCGGCGGUUUGAGCAAGCUCCGCGUCGUCCGGUGGACCUCCGUGGGAAGUGUUUCAACUGUCUGUCCAGCAACCACUUCGUUGCUGUGUGCAGACGCCCUACUCGCUGUUUCCGCUGUCGUCUUCUUGGGCAUCAAGCAAGGAGGUGUCCCUCUCUUCUCCCGGUAGAGAAAGGGACGUCUGGAAAGCCACCAAGGGUGCAAGGCGGGCGUGUUCAGGUUUGGCAGCGGCUAGGUCCACCGGUUCCAUCCUCUGUGCUCAAUCACAGGAUGUCUGUGUGGCAAAGAAUUGGCCCUCAGCUGCCGCCGUCGAAGUUUUCUCAUUCUCCGGCAGCAGAGGCAAGCUUGGUGGAGAGCAAUAUCUCGAGUCAUUCUGGUAAGAAGAAGAGGAGGCGGGCUAAACGUCAUAAGGAGGUUUCUUGGCAGUCCACAGCGCCGGUGGGUGCCGCUUCGACCUUGGAGCCCUCGCCAGGAGUAGGGACGCAGUCGAGAGUGAAGACCUGCAUGCUUGAGUUCUCCACUGCUAUGGCUCGGGAGGAGGCGGCUCUUCGCCGGGCUUUGUUCGUCUCUAUUGUUGGCAGCAGACCGGAGAUCAGUGGAGCUGAAGUGCGGGAUGAAGUGGCUCGGGCUUUUGGAAUUGACGUUAAUUCAAUAUCGAUUCAUCAGUCCUUGCCAGAAGAUUUCCUAUUGUUGUUACCGGAUGAAAGUUCGGCUGAUAGAGUCUUCAGCGGAGGAAAAUUGUUUAGGGGCCCUCUUUUCAAUCUUCAAUUCAGACGGUGGUCGCGGUUGGCUCAUGCUGAGGCGGCUAGGUUGCCAGCACUGGUGGAAGUCGAGGUUCAUGGCAUCCCAGCCCACGCAUGGGAUCGUUCUACGGUGGAGUAUCUGCUCCGUGACUCUUGCAUUAUCACAGACAUUCAUCCGAGCACGUCAUUGAAGAAUGAUCUGUCUUCCUUCAGGCUUCGUGCAUGGUGUUUGAACACAGAUUUGUUCCCUCGGCCGAUGAAGCUCCUCAUUGUUGAGCCGGGGACGGAUGUGCAGGAGAAAAGAUGUCUUUCCUAUGAUAUUGAGGUGGUUGUUACUGCUGUGAUGGUUCCGACGAAUUUCGACCCCCCUCCAGCUCAUUCCCCUGCGGCUGAUGGACGGGAUCGGCAUGAGGAUGGCGGCGGGAGGCAUUCGGACGACUCCAAUUCUCCACGUCCGGACGGCGGGCGGCAUCAGCGCCCAAUUUUCCAGCGUCUGGGCCCGAGGGGACAGUCAACGUCUGGUGGUCGUGGUGCUGCGGUCCAGCGCUGUGCCCUCUCGGCAGCGGGCCCGGCUGCAGGAAUCGAGGUGGUGGCCUCCCCAACGCGCCUGCUGGACGGAUCUCCUUUAUCGCUGACGAUUGGCGCAGGAGCCGAGGAGGACCUUGCUGCGGGGAUCGAGGAGGUGCGACGGCUGCAUUGCCCCCUCCCUUUAUUGCUGGUUGCUGCGGGGGUCGAGGAGGUGCCUCCCCCUGUGCGGCGGCUGGCGGUUAAUUCUGUGGCGGGAGUCGAGGAGGUGGCCUCUUCAAUGGGACGUGCGGUCCAUUCUCCUUCAUGGUUGGCGGCAGGCACAGGAACCGAGGCGCACAUUGGGAGAAUGCUGGCGGCCGACAUAGGAACCGAGGCGCACUCUGGGGGAAUGAUGGCGGUCAGCUCAGGAGCCGAAGCACACACUGGGAGCAUGGUAGCCGUUCCUGCCAGGGAGGUGUUGGCUGUCCAGAUGGAACUCACGGCAGCAGACAUGGGCACAGGUCCCGGGACAGUCUGCGCAAAGGUUGGCUCUGUGGGCUGUGCUGUUGAUGCUCCAGUUGUGCAACAGCCGCAGAUGGAUGGGCACGGGGGGCCCAUGUGGACAAGGUUGGCUGGGUCGCUGAAAUCGCUUGGGUCGGGCUCUCCCCGACAGAGGUUUGUCGGGUUGCAGAGGCUGACCAAGACCGUUUCGCCCCGCAACAGUUUCAAUGUCGGGAUCGAGUUGGUCCCCCGGCUGACCUCAACUCAAUCUUUGGUUGGGACGUCGGAGGCGGACAGGAACUCUCCCGCUGGAAUGUCACUUGAUGCUCAGGUCCUUGAGAGCCCCAGACCGAAGGUGUACUCAAGAUUGAAAAAGGGCAGACUUCAGAUACCUGCACCGGUUUCAUCCCAGAUGGUGGUGUCGGCACCAGUUUUGGAUCUGGCACCUGCUGGUGUUUCUUCUCAGUUGGAGGAGGCGACCCCCAUUAUGAAACUGGUGGCUAAUAUCACAAGAGACAUUGACUGCUUGCUUCCGCAACCUCCAAUUCAAAAAAGAACUAAACAGCUUCCGCCAGAUUUUGUCCCACGUCGCAGUAGUCGCUUGUCAAAGAAAAGGGAAGGCUUAAAUUCAACAGUCAGACAAGUCCAGGCGGAGCUCAUGUUGAAGUUGAACGUCACAAACUCACAGGUGGCUGUGACUGAUGAAAUGCUGGAGGAAUUUGGACAGCUGUUUGACAAACCCCUUUCCAACUCUCACAUCAAGGCCCUGGCAGCUUUGUUUGGAUGGUCGGUCCCAGAUAAUGUGCAAGAAUGCUUGGAUGUUCCUUUGCUUAGGGAGUUAAGCAUUGAAACGUGUGCUUGAUGGCCUGCUGUAGCCUCACAUUAUGUUGGUUGUAUUUCUGUUAUCAAUGAAUCUGUCAAAAAUCCUCAUUUGGAACGUCAGAGGUCUUAAUAGGAAAGCUAGGAGGGAUGCUGUGCGUAUGAUGGUUGAGUCUACUCGCCCCGACAUAGUGUGUUUGCAAGAAACGAAGAAGGAAUCUAUUUCCAGAUUUAUGGUCUUCUCCCUCCUUGGAAAUGUGUUUGAUCAGUUCACCUUUCUACCAGCCAUUGGCACUCGGGGGGGUAUUCUGCUUGCGUGGAAAGGGUCGGUGUGCUCUGCUCUCCAGACAAGGGUGGAUGAAUUUUCAAUUUCAGUUCAGUUCAAUCAUGAUAGUAACCUUCCCUGGUGGUUUACUGGAGUUUAUGGACCACAAUCUGAUGAAAAAAAGUUGCAGUUUCUGCAGGAGCUCCGCAUGGUCCGGUCUGUUUGUGUUGGGCCAUGGGCAGUUGGGGGGGAUUUUAAUCUAAUCUAUCGGGCUGAAGACAAAAAUAACAACAACCUUGAUAGGGCCAUGAUGGGGAGAUUCCAGAGGAUUAUCAAUGAUCUGCAGUUAGUUGAGCUCCCGCUUUUGGGAAGGAAAUUCACGUGGUCCAACGAAAGGUCAUCCCCCACCCUUGUGCGUCUUGACAGAUUUUUCUAUUCCAGGGACUGGGAGGAUCUAUUUCCUGAUUGUUUGAUGCAAAGUUCCUCUUCCUCAAUCUCUGAUCACUGUCCCCUGGUGGUGGGUUUGCACGAGUUCACUCAAGGCAAACGUCGUUUUCAUUUUGAAAGUUUUUGGACUAAGUUGGAAGGUUUCAUGACAGAGGUAGAAAAUUCCUGGUGUCAACCAAUUGCAGCGGUUUGUCCUUUGCAGCGGAUGGCAGAUAAAUUAAAAAGGCUAUCUAAACACCUCCAAUCUUGGAGUAGCAAAAGGGUUGGGCAUGUUAAACGGCAGCUGGUAAUGACUAAUGAGAUUCUGCAUAGGCUGGAAGUUGCUAGAGAUUCAAGAGAUCUCUCCUAUCAUGAAGAAUGGCUGCGUCGUAAACUAAAACACCACUCUUUGGGGCUGGCAUCAUUAGAGAGAACAAUGGCCAGACAUAGGAGUGGUCUGAACUGGUUGAAGGAGGGCGAUGCUAACACUGCUUAUUUUCAUCACCAUUCAAGGUAUAGAAAGAGAAAAAAUUUUAUUGGCAAACUGAAAGUAGAGGAUCGGAUCGUGGUUGAUCAAGCAGAAAAGAAACAUGCUGUUUGGAAUUUUUACAAUAAUCUCCUUGGGGUUGCUGCUUCUAGGGAAUUUACCCUCAAUUUGGGAGUCUUCCACCGACCAGCCAACAAUCUUGAAGUGCUGGAUCAUGGAUUUAGUGAAGAAGAGGUCUGGAAUACUAUCAAGUCUAUUCCUUCGGACAAAGCCCCGGGCCCAGAUGGUUUUACUGGGCGUUUUUAUAAGUGUGCCUGGACGGUUGUCAAAGGGGAUUUCUUGGCAGCCCUGUCAGUAAUUCUCCAGGGGGACUCUUCCAAGCUUUAUCUCCUUAACUCGGCGUAUGUGACUCUCUUACCAAAAAAGGCUGAGGCUGUGGAGGUAAAAGACUUCAGACCGAUUAGUUUAAUUCACAGUUUUGCCAAGAUUCUCACCAAGAUUCUGGCCAAUAGGCUUGCUGCAAUCCUCCCUACUUUGGUCUCCCCCAAUCAGAGUGCAUUCAUCAAGGGAAGAAGUAUUCAUGACAAUUUUAUGAUGGUUAGAGAAACUGCAAAAGCGAUUCACAGGCAGAAAAUUCCUAGAAUCUUGCUGAAGUUAGACAUUGGCAAGGCCUUCGACUCAGUUUCGUGGCCUUUCCUCCUUGAAGUUCUGGAACAUGUGGGAUUUGGUCUAUUCUGGCGUAAUUUAAUUGCUAAGCUAUUGUGUUCCUCCUCUACUCGAGUGCUAGUUAAUGGGGAACCAGGAGAUCUCAUUUGUCACCAGCAAGGCCUGCGGCAGGGAGAUCCUCUCUCCCCAAUGCUCUUUAUAUUAGUAAUGGAUGUGCUGAACUCUCUUUUUCAGAAAGCAAAUGAGGUUGGGCUCUUGGGACCUUUAUUAAGAAGGGGAGGGGGCCAGCGGGUCUCUCUUUACGCCGAUGAUGUUGUAUUAUUUGUUCAGCCUAACAGAAAUGAGCUGAGUGUGGUCAAGGAGCUGUUGAGGGUGUUUGGCAAGGCAUCAGGGCUGAUUACAAACAUAAAUAAGUGCAGUAUGACACCUAUUCAGUGCAACGAGCAUAUCAUUGCUGCUGCUCGACAGAUGUUACUCUGCAAUGUUGUUCCUUUUCCAUGUAAAUAUCUAGGUCUUCCUCUCUCUGUUAAAAAGCUCCCUAGAAGAUCCUUUCUGGAGCUUAUUGAUAAGGUGGCAGCAAAGCUUCCUGGCUGGAAAGCUGCUAAUCUUAACCUGGCCGGAAGGGCAACUUUGGUUAAAGCUGUGCUCACUGCUAUUCCCAUUUAUCAUCUAAUUGCUUUGCAAUGUCCAAGGUGGGUAAUCAAGGCAAUAGACAAGAUUCGCAGGGGUUUUCUUUGGAAAGGAAGAACUGACAUUAGAGGAGGACAUUGUGUCGUUGGGUGGUCCAAGGUCUGUCGUCCCCUCUCUCUUGGUGGGUUGGGAAUUCACAAUUUGCAAGUUAUGGGAUGGUCUUUAAAUUUGAGAUGGCUUUGGCUCCAGAAAACUGAACCAGCUAGGCCUUGGGCAGAUUUUAAAAUAAAGGUGCACAGAUUUGCUUCAGCUCUCUUCGCAGCCUCUGUGUGUUCGGUGGUUGGUAAUGGGGCAAACACUCUCUUCUGGACAGAUAAAUGGCUUCAGGGCCAAUCUUUGCUCCAGAUUGCCCCCGCUCUAAUAAAUCGGGUGCCCGCGAAUAUAAGACGGCGCAGAUCUGUCCAAGCCGCCUUAACAGCCAAUGGUUGGGUGCAUGAUAUCUCUGGAAGCCUUACGGCGCAGGUGCUGUUUGAAUUUUUAUUGGUUUGGGAUUUACUCCAAGAGGUGCAACUGUACCCUAAUGUGGAGGAUCAACAUCGGUGGUUGCCAUCCUCCUCGGGGCUGUAUUCCGCCAGCUCUGCUUAUUUGCGCUUCCAUGGUGGUGCAACAACCUUUGAGCCUGCUACAAGAAUCUGGAAGACUUGGGCCCCCCGCGCUGCAAGUAUUUCAUUUGGCUUGCAUCUCUCAACCGAUGUUGGACGGCUGAUCGACUGGCACGUCAUGGAAUGGAUCAUCCAGAUAGUUGUCCCUUGUGUGAUCAGCAGGAUGAGUCAGUGCAUCACUUGCUGGUGGAUUGUGUUUUUACGAGGGAAGUUUGGUUUACAACACUAAGCAGGCUAGGUUUGCAACAUCUUGCUCCCACGUCUGAUGCUACAGGGUUUCAAGAUUGGUGAAGUGAGGCAGAAAGACAAGUGUCUAAGCAUAAGAAAAAAGGUUUCAACUCUAUUGUAAUUUUAGUAGCUUGGCAGAUUUGGAAGCAUAGAAAUGCGUGUGUGUUUGACAAUGCUUCCCCAAACAUUCACGCAAUUUUGCUGUCCAUCCAUGAUGAGGCUUUAUUAUGGGGUCUUGGAGGGGCUGCUGCUCUUAGGCAGGUUUGGUUAUAGUUUUUUUUUUUGGUGCUUCCUGGGCACCUUUGUACUGGGUCUUUUCUAGACCCUUUUUCUUAUCUUCUUAAUAUAUAUUGAUGCGUGGUUCUCCCACGUGUUCGAGAAAAAAAAAAGGUUGUAUAUUCACACUCGCAGGAGGAGCUAUAUUGUAGAAAAGCUUAAAACAAAUACUCACUAUAUCGUCCACAAUGUAGGCUGAGUUUGUUGCAUGUUAUAAGGUAACGGGGCAGGCUACGUGGCUUAAGAAAUUUUUACUUGGUUUAAAAGUGGUAGCCAACAUAUCAAAACUACUGAAGUUAUAUUGUGAUAAUGAGCUAGCAAUAUGUUACUCCUAUAACAAGUCAAGUGUUGGUGCCAAGCGCAUUGACUUUUAGUAUUAUGUUGUAAAGGAGAGUCUAGUACCAAACAAUUGACCUUAAGCAUAUAUGUACAGAGCAAAUGCUUGUAGAUCCGCUCAAAAGGGCUUCCACUGCACCCAAUGUGUUUAGAAAACACACAAUCAUGGGUUUAAUGGAGCACCUAUAAUACUAGACUAAGGGGUCAUGAAAAUGCAACAUGUCUCUCAAGUAUUAAGUUCUUCAUUUUGAGAUAGUUUCAGCAGUGUCUAACAACUUGCUGCAACGCCUUGGUCUUGGCACACUGAUCUAUUGAAAAGUGGGAGUCAUAAGUUAAGAAGUUAAAUAAGAAAGAAAGUUUUAAGUAUAAGCAAAUAAGUAUGAGAUUAAAGGGGGAGAAUGUUGGGUUGAUCUCAGACUCGGUCUGAUCUUAUCCUAACGCUUCUAUCCGAGUCUGCAGCGCUUUGAUCGGGAGGGGGCGAUAACCGUAAUGGUCGCGUCCCUCUUUCACGCCCGCGCGAUAUUAAAAGGCCAGAGGGUGUCAGCUUGGGAACCAUCGUUCCCGGUAUACCCCACGCCAAUAUACACCUAUUCGAUCUAGAUUUGCGCACGGGAAUUGGAGGGAAGGUUGCCGCCAGGUUCACCAUCCGUGUAUGAACCACUCGCUCUCAGCUCACCGUUGCCAGUGAAGAACAGCAGGCCCUAAUGGCGAGCUCGACAAAUCCCGAAGGUGAAGAAGAUGAUCGUCUAUGCCGUUGAGCAUGCUUUGGCGAUUCUGAAAGAGCCUUGCACACCCCGCGAGUCCGCCUGAACAAGCUGGCAUCAUAUCUGGGUUUCUGCUAGUCAACGAGGGAAACUAGAGAACAUGAUGCGAUGUUGUGCGACAGUAGACGUGGGGUAGCGCUAGUUGCUUUGCUUGUCGGCACAAAUAAUAAUCUUGGAAAUAUUACUAAUAAGGGCUCGGUUAGGAAGGGAUUGGAGGAGAUUAAAUUUUUUUUUUUUAUUUUAACUGAAUAGAAAGAGAUUUGAUGAGAUCCCUAUACAAUCGAAAAAGGCCUAAAAUGGUAGAUUUUGCUGAUGGUGUGCAUCACUGAAGAGCUGGGCAUGCUGAAAAAAAUAGAUGUCAUACUGUAAAUCUACAAAAUGUGGCUUCGUUUCCAAAAGGCCUUGCCCCUGUUAUCUAUAACUGUCUACAGUCUAUACGAGUAACAUAUGCUUUCGGCGUUA